AGUGAACGCUGGCGGUAGGCCUAACACAUGCAAGUCGAACGGCAGCACAGUAAGAGCUUGCUCUUACGGGUGGCGAGUGGCGGACGGGUGAGGAAUACAUCGGAAUCUACUUUUUCGUGGGGGGUAACGUAGGGAAACUUACGCUAAUACCGCAUACGACCUACGGGUGAAAGCAGGGGAUCUUCGGACCUUGCGCGAUUGAAUGAGCCGAUGUCGGAUUAGCUAGUUGGCGGGGUAAAGGCCCACCAAGGCGACGAUCCGUAGCUGGUCUGAGAGGAUGAUCAGCCAAACUGGAACUGAGACACGGUCCAGACUCCUACGGGAGGCAGCAGUGGGGAAUAUUGGACAAUGGGCGCAAGCCUGAUCCAGCCAUACCGCGUGGGUGAAGAAGGCCUUCGGGUUGUAAAGCCCUUUUGUUGGGAAAGAAAAGCAGCAGGUUAAGACCCCGCUGUUCUGACGGUACCCAAAGAAUAAGCACCGGCGAACUUCGU
rnacentral:rRNA from 1 species